AUUGAACGCUGGCGGCAUGCCUUACACAUGCAAGUCGAACGGUAACAGGUUAAGCUGACGAGUGGCGAACGGGUGAGUAAUAUAUCGGAACGUGCCCAGUCGUGGGGGAUAACUGCUCGAAAGAGCAGCUAAUACCGCAUACGACCUGAGGGUGAAAGCGGGGGAUCGCAAGACCUCGCGCGAUUGGAGCGGCCGAUAUCAGAUUAGGUAGUUGGUGGGGUAAAAGCCUACCAAGCCAACGAUCUGUAGCUGGUCUGAGAGGACGACCAGCCACACGGGGACUGAGACACGGCCCAGACUCCUACGGGAGGCAGCAGUGGGGAAUUUUGGACAAUGGACGCAAGUCUGAUCCAGCCAUGCCGCGUGCGGGAAGAAGGCCUUCGGGUUGUAAACCGCUUUUGUCAGGGAAGAAAAGGUUCUGGUUAAUACCUGGGACUCAUGACGGUACCUGAAGAAUAAGCACCGGCUAACUACGUGCCAGCCGCCGCCGUAACAC
rnacentral:rRNA from 1 species